CAAUAGCGUAUAUUAAAGUUGUUGCAGUUAAAAAGCUCGUAGUUGGAUUUCUGGUCGGAAGCUCCUGUCCUCUGAUGAGCGUACAAGUGCGUCCUACCAUCCUUCUGUUAACCUUUAAGGCUUUCGCGGCUUUCUAGGGGCUCAGAUAUUUUACCUUGAGAAAAUUAGAGUGUUUCAGGCAGGCUAGCGCCGGAAUACAUUAGCAUGGAAUAAUGGAAUAGGACUUUUGCCUCUUCUGUUGGUCAUGAGGCUCGAGUAAUGAUUAAUAGGGAUAGUUGGGGGCAUUAGUACUUAACUGUCAGAGGUGAAAUUCUCGGAUUUGUUAAAGACUAACUUAUGCGAANGNAUUUGCNAAGGAUGUUUNCAUUA
rnacentral:rRNA from 1 species